rnacentral:rRNA from 1 species
GACGAACGCUGGCGGCGUGCCUAAUACAUGCAAGUUGAGCGCUGAAGGUUGGUACUUGUACCAACUGGAUGAGCAGCGAACGGGUGAGUAACGCGUGGGGAAUCUGCCUUUGAGCGGGGGACAACAUUUGGAAACGAAUGCUAAUACCGCAUAAAAACUUUAAACAUAAGUUUUAAGUUUGAAAGAUGCAAUUGCAUCACUCAAAGAUGAUCCCGCGUUGUAUUAGCUAGUUGGUGAGGUAAAGGCUCACCAAGGCGAUGAUACAUAGCCGACCUGAGAGGGUGAUCGGCCACAUUGGGACUGAGACACGGCCCAAACUCCUACGGGAGGCAGCAGUAGGGAAUCUUCGGCAAUGGACGAAAGUCUGACCGAGCAACGCCGCGUGAGUGAAGAAGGUUUUCGGAUCGUAAAACUCUGUUGGUAGAGAAGAACGUUGGUGAGAGUGGAAAGCUCAUCAAGUGACGGUAACUAACCAGAAAGGGACGGCUAACUACGUG